rnacentral:rRNA from 1 species
GAUGAACGCUAGCGGCAGGCCUAACACAUGCAAGUCGAGGGGUAGGGCAGCAAUGCCUGAGACCGGCGCACGGGUGCGUAACGCGUAUGCAACCUACCUUUUACAGGGGAAUAGCCCAGAGAAAUUUGGAUUAAUGCCCCAUGGUAUAUUUGAGUGGCAUCACUUGAUUAUUAAAGUUCCAACGGUAAAAGAUGGGCAUGCGUCCUAUUAGCUAGAUGGUAAGGUAACGGCUUACCAUGGCUACGAUAGGUAGGGGUCCUGAGAGGGAGAUCCCCCACACUGGUACUGAGACACGGACCAGACUCCUACGGGAGGCAGCAGUGAGGAAUAUUGGACAAUGGGCGCAAGCCUGAUCCAGCCAUGCCGCGUGCAGGAAGAAGCAUCUAUGGUGUGUAAACUGCUUUUGUACGGGAAGAAACACCCCUUCGUGAAGGGACUUGACGGUACCGUAAGAAUAAGGAUCGGCUAACUCCGUGCCAGCAGCCGCAGUAACAC